AUCAGCACUCUACCCGACGACGUCCUCCUCGACAUACUUCAAUUCCUGGACCUCCGCACGGUGGUCAGAGCCAGCGCCGUGGCGAGGCGAUGGAGGCGGCUCCCGCGUAUGCUUCCCGACCUCGACAUGGACAUCGCCACCCUGGUACCGCACCGUUGCUGGGAUUCCUCGGUGGAUCGUGUCAUGGCCACCUACACGAAUAUCGUAACGUGGUUUCUGUCGCCCACCCAUCACCGGACGAGCUUGCGCCUCGCCUUCUACCUUGUAGACGUCGAUCCGUUCCUGCGCUCCAUCGGCGAUGCCAUCCCCACCGCCACCGCCGACCGCCUCGAGCUCACCAUACUCAGGUCAUAUGAUCCUUGCGUCGACUUUGAUCAAUGCUUCGUGUCUUUCCUCACGGCCUGCCCCGCCACCUUCGGCUGGCUCACCAGCCUUGCCCUACAAGGCUUCACCUUUUCCACCUUGGAGAUCGCCGGACUCCUUGACGCCUGCCACCGGCUAGAGAUCCUCUCCUUGACCAACUGCCACUGCACGGUCUCCAUUACGGAAAAACUGCAGAUCGACGCUCCCAGCUCAUCGCUCUUGGCCUUGGAACUCCAUGGUUGCUCCUUCAACAGAGUCGAGCUGGCCAGGGUCCCGAAACUUGAGCGCUUUGUUUGCGACACCUCUACAGUUGCACAUAACAUGAGUUUCGGCUAUGUUCCUUGCCUUCGUGUCAUAAACCUCUCAGUAUCGCAUCUGCAACGCUACUUUGAGAAUCCAGCAUCGCUCUGUCCAGCAUUCAAUAGCCUCAGAGAUGUUUCUCCGCGCGGCUUGGAUAUUCCCGACAAGGCAUUGAUCCUUUCUCUUCUAGAUGCUGCACCCUUCCUCAACAACCUUUCUAUUACUCGAGGUGGAGUAAAAAGGACCGGAGGGAGUAUCAAGCUAACUGAUCGCCUCUCUACACGUCGAGGUCCC
rnacentral:rRNA from 1 species